AGAAGUUACAAAGGGCGAACAGAGGAUGCCUAGGCUUCUAUAGGCGAAGAAAGACGUGGUAAGCUGCGAAAAGGCACGGGGAUCUGCAAACAGGACUUGAUCCGUGCAUUUCUGAAUGGGGCAACCCGGCAAGAUGAAGUCUUGCCACCGCAAGUAAUUGUGGAGCCAACCCGGGGAACUGAAACAUCUCAUUACCCGGAGGAAAAGAAAGAAAGAUCGAUUUCCCAAGUAGUGGCGAGCGAAAAGGAAAUAGCCCAAACCGGAUUUGUUGCGGCAAAUUCGGGGUAGUAGGACCUCGAUAUACGAGCCAUAAAAAAUUGGAAGUUUCUGGAAAGGGACAUCGUAGAGGGUGAUAAUCCCGUACAAGUAAGAUUAUGGUAAGUUAGGGGAAUCCUGAGUAGGGCGGGACACGAGGAAUCCUGUCUGAAACAGCGGGGACCAUCCCGUAAGGCUAAAUACUCAUAGAAGACCGAUAGUGUACCAGUACUGUGAAGGAAAGGUGAAAAGCACCGUGAAAAACGGGGUGAAAGAGAACCUGAAACUGUUCGCUUACAAGCGGUCGGAGUCUCGUGAGAGAUGACGGCGUGCCUUUUGCAUAAUGAGCCUACGAGUUACUUCUCACCGGCAAGGUUAAGCACCUCAGGUGCGGAGCCGAAGCGAAAGCGAGUCUGAAAAGGGCGAUGUGAGUCGGUGGGAGUAGACGCGAAACCUUGUGAUCUACCCUUGGCCAGGUUGAAGUGUCCGUAACAGGACAUGGAGGACCGCACCAGUUUCCGUUGAAAAGGAUUUGGAUGAGUUGAGGGUAGGGGUGAAAGGCUAAUCAAACUGGGAGAUAGCUCGUACUCCCCGAAAUGUCUUUUGGGACAGCCUCAUUAUAGCUUGACGGAGGUAGAGCUACUGAUAGGAUGCGAGGGCUUCACCGCCUAUCAAAUCCUGACAAACUCCGAAUGCCGUCAAGUGAUUAAUGGGAGUGAGUCAUCGGGUGCUAAUGUCCGGUGGCAAAAGGGAAAUAGCCCAGACCAACAGCUAAGGCCCCCAAACGUAUGCUAAGUUGAGAGAACGAAGUUUGAUACCGGAGACAGCUAGGAUGUUAGCUUGGAAGCAGCUAAUCAUUUAAAGAGUGCGUAACAGCUCACUAGUCGAGGUACCGGGCGUGGAUGAUAAACGGGCAUCAAGCAUACUGCCGAAGCUAUGGACUCCGCGAGGAGUGGUAGGGGAGCAUUCUAACCGGCGCAGAAGGUGAUGCGUGAGCAUUGCUGGAGCGAUUAGAAAAGAAGAUGUAGGCAUAAGUAACGAUAAUGAAGGCGAGAAACCUUCACACCGCAAGCCCAAGGUUUCCUGAUCAAUGCUAAUCAGAUCAGGGUAAGUCGGGGCCUAACGUAAAUCCGAAAGGAGAUGUGGAUGGACAAAUGGUUAAUAUUCCAUUACCUGUAUAUGAUAUUCAGGAGGGACGAAGAUGUGACACGCGCGCCAACAGACGGAAUAGUUGGUUAAAGGACGUAGGUAAACGGCGAAGUUAAAAGCUGGUCGUGCUGAAGUCUGACAGUACACGGAGCUUUCGGGCGAAGUGAUAGUCGCGGUAAGCGGACUUCCAAGAAAAUCUCCGAUAAUUUUCAUAUACAGCCCGUACCGUAAACCGACACAGGUGGGCGAGGAGAGUAUCCUCAGGUGCUCGAGUGAAUCAUGGCUAAGGAAUUCGGCAAAUUGACCCCGUAACUUCGGGAUAAGGGGACCCAUCGCAAGAUGGGCGCAGAGAAAUGGCCCAGGCGACUGUUUAACAAAAACACAUGGCUUUGCUAAAUCGCAAGAUGACAUAUAAGGCCUGACACCUGCCCGGUGCCGGAAGGUUAAGAGGGGAUGUAAUCUCAAGAGAAGCAUUGAAUCGAAGCCCCGGUAAACGGCGGCCGUAACUAUAACGGUCCUAAGGUAGCGAAAUUCCUUGUCGGGUAAGUUCCGACCUGCACGAAUGGUGUAACGAUCUGGGCACUGUCUCAGCUGUGAGCUCGGUGAAAUUGUAGUGGCGGUGAAGAUGCCGCCUACCCGCAACGGGACGAAAAGACCCCGUGAACCUUUACUAUAGCUUAGCGCUGGACUUUGCCGGACGAUGUGUAGGAUAGGUGGGAGACUGCGAAGGGCAUACGCCAGUAUGCCUGGAGUCGCCGUUGAAAUACCACCCUUCGUCCGGCGGGGUCCUAACCUUCAGGGAAGGGACACCGCUUGGUGGGUAGUUUGACUGGGGUGGUCGCCUCCAAAAGAGUAACGGAGGCUUCCCAAGGUCCGCUCAGCGCGAAUGGCAACCGCGCGAAGAGUGCAGUGGCAAAAGCGGGCUUGACUGGGAGACAAACAAGUCGAGCAGGUACGAAAGUAGGGCAAAGUGAUCCGGCGGUUCCUCAUGGGAGGGCCGUCGCUCAAAGGAUAAAAGGUACUCCGGGGAUAACAGGCUGAUCGCUCCCAAGAGCUCAAAUCGACGGAGCGGUUUGGCACCUCGAUGUCGGCUCAUCACAUCCUGGGGCUGAAUUCGGUCCCAAGGGUUCGGCUGUUCGCCGAUUAAAGUGGCACGCGAGCUGGGUUCAGAACGUCGUGAGACAGUUCGGUC
rnacentral:rRNA from 1 species